UUCUCUAAAGGCUCUAGCAAGGCAUGCCUUUUUUUAUUCAGUUAUCAAAUCUGGGAAAUUGCAUUUUGAUUCUAACACAAAAUCUGUUUCAGCUACAUGUUUAGCGUAUUGCCAGUAUUUCUUCCUUUGCAGUUGUGCUUGAGUUAAAAGGGAAGCCAUACAUAUGCCUUCUUAUCCAUGACACAUGUUGCCUUUUUUUUUUCAAGCUUUUUUUUUUCAAGCUUUUUUUUUUCUACGUGAGUGUUACAAUACUGCUCUGAACAUGUCUUAAGGGUGCAUCAUUUUUGUGUUUGAUUUACAUCAACCUAAAUAUUUGAAAACUGUUAAUCUCUUAAGUUUGUCUGUUUUAAAUGUAAAGUGUUUGUUUUGUGAGGAAAAAGCACUGUAAUUAAAGUGACUGGAUAAAA